CGAACGCUUCUUUUUCACCGGAGCUUGCUCCACCGGAAAAAGAGGAGUGGCGAACGGGUGAGUAACACGUGGGUAACCUGCCCAUCAGAAGGGGAUAACACUUGGAAACAGGUGCUAAUACCGUAUAACAAUCAAAACCGCAUGGUUUUGAUUUGAAAGGCGCUUUCGGGUGUCGCUGAUGGAUGGACCCGCGGUGCAUUAGCUAGUUGGUGAGGUAACGGCUCACCAAGGCCACGAUGCAUAGCCGACCUGAGAGGGUGAUCGGCCACAUUGGGACUGAGACACGGCCCAAACUCCUACGGGAGGCAGCAGUAGGGAAUCUUCGGCAAUGGACGAAAGUCUGACCGAGCAACGCCGCGUGAGUGAAGAAGGUUUUCGGAUCGUAAAACUCUGUUGUUAGAGAAGAACAAGGAUGAGAGUAACUGUUCAUCCCUUGACGGUAUCUAACCAGAAAGCCACGGCUAACUACGUGCCAGCAGCCGCGGUAAUACGUAGGUGGCAAGCGUUGUCCGGAUUUAUUGGGCGUAAAGCGAGCGCAGGCGGUUUCUUAAGUCUGAUGUGAAAGCCCCCGGCUCAACCGGGGAGGGUCAUUGGAAACUGGGAGACUUGAGUGCAGAAGAGGAGAGUGGAAUUCCAUGUGUAGCGGUGAAAUGCGUAGAUAUAUGGAGGAACACCAGUGGCGAAGGCGGCUCUCUGGUCUGUAACUGACGCUGAGGCUCGAAAGCGUGGGGAGCAAACAGGAUUAGAUACCCUGGUAGUCCACGCCGUAAACGAUGAGUGCUAAGUGUUGGAGGGUUUCCGCCCUUCAGUGCUGCAGCUAACGCAUUAAGCACUCCGCCUGGGGAGUACGACCGCAAGGUUGAAACUCAAAGGAAUUGACGGGGGCCCGCACAAGCGGUGGAGCAUGUGGUUUAAUUCGAAGCAACGCGAAGAACCUUACCAGGUCUUGACAUCCUUUGACCACUCUAGAGAUAGAGCUUCCCCUUCGGGGGCAAAGUGACAGGUGGUGCAUGGUUGUCGUCAGCUCGUGUCGUGAGAUGUUGGGUUAAGUCCCGCAACGA
rnacentral:rRNA from 1 species